UGGAGAGUGAGACGCCGCGACACAAACGCCUCCCCUCUUCCUCCACGCAUCUCUCACUCUCCUGCCCAUUCUCCCAGAACCUUGUCACCCCUUGAAGUACAACAUAUUCACCAAAAUACCACUCGAAGGUGUAAAAUCACACUAAAUCGCUCCGGUAACCGAUCACCGGACCCAAAAUCAAACACCAUGCAGCCGGGAGAGACAGUUUUCCGGUCAGCUCUGGACAAACCCCUACACCAGCUAACAGAAGAUGAUAUUUCUCAGGUCACUCGCGAAGAUUGCCGCCGUUACCUCAAAGAAAAAGGUAUGAGAAGGCCGUCGUGGAACAAAUCGCAGGCAAUACAGCAAGUGAUUUCACUCAAAACACUCCUGGAAGCGACGCCGGAGACUGAAUCUCCAAGGCGACGACUCUACAUUCCCCGUCCUCCUCCUCAUCCUCCUGAUAAUACUCCUCGUGUCCCUCCAAAUUCCUCUGUUUCAGAGAGGGGAGCAAGUGCUGAAACGCCGAUCUCGGUGCCAGCCGAGGAGCCAGUUCCGUGCCGGCAACACGAUCCUCCAAAUCCCGAUGAUCCUGCCGAUCCUCUGCCUCCUGUCCAUGCCGCCGUCACCGAGAAUGCUUCGGUUUCACCAAGAACUACAGGCAUGGCAGAAGAAUCAGCAGGACAGAUGACAAUUUUUUACUGUGGGAAGGUAAACGUCUAUGAUGAUGUACCGGGAGACAAGGCGCAAGCAAUAAUGCAUCUUGCUGCAAGCCCAUUUGCUCCACCUCAGGAUGCUUCUUCAGAUGUAAUUCCUACAUUAAGGCCUUUACAAUGCCAGUUAGACACUCCAGGUGUCAAAGCUGCUCCAAAUUCAAUUGUGGCGAACUUUCCAACCCUGCCAACAGUGAAAGGGGCAGAUAGUGGUCAGCUUCUCUGGGAAGAAAGCAACAUAGCUCGUGAAGACAACCUAGAAGGCUCUACAAGCAGAAAAGCAUCCUUACAAAGAUAUUUUGAGAAGAAGAAAGACAGGUUCAAGAACAAGAGAAAGGUGGCAGUGCCUUCUGCUAGCUUGGACGUCUUCUUAAGCCAUCUGGUUGGAGAUCAAAUCUCAAAUGAUCAUUGGAACCUAAAUGAUGCCUGCUCUCCUUCCCAACCCAGGCCUCCCCAAACGCCUAACCGGUGCAACUCUGUUGACAAUGUAGCAAAAAAUGGCAUCCUCAAAGCUGACCUUAACAACAAAGAUGUCCCAGAAAUCUGAAUACGUGGAGGAUGAAUCUGUUGCACAGCAUGCGGUUCGUUCUUUUGAGCAAGGAAUCGUGUCGAUCGCUAUCCGAUGACCCAUUUUGAUAUCAAUCAAGGCAGUAGAGUUUAGCUCCCUUGGAAGAGUUUGUACUAUAAGUAUUUGAGCCUGCAAGACUUGAUAAGCUGACAGGCAAAAUGAGCUCUGGCAAAAUAUACACAUAACAUGGAGUUUGAAUUGAUGCCUAAGAUUGGCAUCCGGUCCUGAUUUUCAGAUUAGACGAAUUAGAGUAUUGAGGCAUGAAGGGAACGCGAAACUGGGACGUCAAGUCCGCCCAUCAUAUCACCUUGAAGGAAGAUUUUGAGUGGUUCUGAACACGACCCAUGAAUGACCCGAAGGUAGGCCAUUAGGAUAAGUGAAAGAGAUGUUCUGGUUAACAAAUGUGACUGCAUUGGCGACCAUUUGGCCUAGCGAGUGAAAACGAUGUAUGCUUUCGGAUGAUCAUUAAGGCAAACGAAUCUAAACCCACCACGCACUGCCCCCACGAUUUGUCUAAAUUUCAACCAUGGUGGCAAUCCAGAAUAAUUCCUAGGUGAUGUCCCUACCACUCUGUGGCAUUUUCGCACCCUACUAUUUAGCCUUUUUCUCAUUCUUUUUUUUUUAUCCUGUUUUAACACUUGAUGAUACGUGCAUGACACUUGAUAUAAUUAAUCAAUGGUGUGGGUCAGUUAUUUCCUUAAA